rnacentral:rRNA from 1 species
UACGUAGGGUGCAAGCGUUGUCCGGAAUUAUUGGGCGUAAAGAGCUCGUAGGCGGUCUGUCGCGUCUGCUGUGAAAACCCAUGGCUCAACCAUGCGGUCUGCAGUCGAUACGGGCAGGCUAGAAUUCGGUAGGGGAGACUGGAAUUCCUGGUGUAGCGGUGAAAUGCGCAGAUAUCAGGAGGAACACCGGUGGCGAAGGCGGGUCUCUGGGCCGAUAUUGACGCUGAGGAGCGAAAGCGUGGGGAGCGAACAGG